CAAGUCGAACGGGCUCUUCGGAGCUAGUGGCGGACGGGUGAGUAACGCGUGAGAAUCUGCCUUCAGGUCUGGGACAACAGAAGGAAACUUCUGCUAAUCCCGGAUGACCCCUUGGGUAAAAGAUAUAUUCGCCUGGAGAUGAGCUCGCGUCUGAUUAGCUAGUUGGUGUGAUAAAAUCCUACCAAGGCGACCAUCAGCAGGUGGGCUGAGAGGAUGAGCCACCCCGCUGGUAAUGAAACACCGCCCCUACUCCUACAGGAGGC
rnacentral:rRNA from 1 species